CCCUUGCAUCCCUGUGGAGAUCCCUGCUGACCAUGUGCAUCUUCACUGGGCAACAGAUGGCUGUGCACAAGAAGAGGUGCUUGAAAUUCAUUGUCUUCUUGCUUCUGAUGGUUCUUGCUGGUGUUUACUGUGGGACCUCACUGCCGGUGUGGACGAUGCGAGCAA